UUAACAUGAUGGACUAUAGGACAGGACUGCUGCUUUUAACUCUCUGCUGGGCAGGUGUUGAUGGUCAGACUCUGACAGAAUCUGGACCAGUGGUUAAAAGGCCUGGAGGAUCCCACACACUGACCUGUACAGGCUCUGGAUUCACAUUCAGCAGCUACUAUAUGGCCUGGAUCAGACAGGCUCCUGGAAAAGGACUGGAGUGGAUUGCCUGGGUUCAGAGCAGUGGUGGCAGUGAGAAAUACUACUCUCAGUCAGUCCAAGGCCGGUUUACCAUCUCCAGAGACAACAGCAGACAGCAGCUGUAUCUGCAGAUGAACAGUCUGAAGACUGAAGAUUCUGCUGUUUAUUAUUGUGCUCGAGAGCCACAGUGACUGGAGUUGGUUG